rnacentral:rRNA from 1 species
UACGUAGGGGGGCUAGCGUUGUCCGGAAUCAUUGGGCGUAAAGAGCGCGUAGGCGGCCAGAUAAGUCCGGGUGUGAAAGUCAAAAGGCUCAACCUUUGAAUGCCGCUGGAAACUGUCUGGCUAGAGUCCGGGAGGGGCGAGUGGAAUUCCUGGUGUAGCGGUGAAAUGCGCAGAUAUCAGGAGGAACACCAAUGGCGAAGGCAGCUCGCUGGAACGGUACUGACGCUGAGGCGCGAAAAGCGUGGGGAGCGAACAGG